rnacentral:rRNA from 1 species
UACGUAGGGGGCAAGCGUUGUCCGGAAUCAUUGGGCGUAAGCGCGUGUAGGCGGUUCGGUAAGUCUGCUGUGAAAGUCCAGGGCUCAACCCUGGGAUGCCGGUGGAUACUGUCGGACUAGAGUACGGAAGGAGGCGAGUGGAAUUCCCGGUGUAGCGGUGAAAUGCCGGCAGAGUAUCGGGAGGAACACCAAUUGCGAAGGCAGCUCGCUGG